UUCAAGAAGCCAAGCCCUAGUUCUUCAAAAAGCUUCAAAUUAAGGGAUGAUUCAAGGCUCAAAUUCGUGAAUUCUCAUGGAUUAAUGAUCACCAUCACAAGGGGAUCAUAAGGAAACCGUGUUUAUGAGAACGUGUCAAGGAGAGCUCAAGCAUAGGAGGAUAACGGGUCAAGAUAAGGCAAGGUCACAAAUACACUUAUUGGAGCACUCAAGGUAAGUGAUUUCUAUAAUCACUUCUUAUUUUAUUUAAGUAAAGUAGCGUUAGUUGAUUAAGCAUGAUGGGGUUUGAAGUUUCAUAUGGUUUUGGUCGUAUGAAAUUGGUAAUUUUAGCUUAGUAGACCGAAUGGGACAAUAUAAAGUUGUAAUGCUAUGACGAAUAAUGUCUAUGUAAUGGCUACGGUAUGUAACCGGGUAAUGGGUAAAAUUGCACAUAAGUGCACCAACCGAGAAUGGGGACUUAGGUUAAUGGGUCAAAGUGAAGGUAUACUUUAGCACGGAACGUUUGUACAAGCAAUGUCGAUAGUAUUUCAUGUGCCCGGUUAGUGUAAGGUGUUAUAACAUUAACAUUAUGUGAGCCUUAAGUGUAAACAUAUGAGUUGUUGAUAAAUGCAUGACGGGUCGAAUAAUUCGUAAUGAAUAAUAAGCCGAAAAUGUAUAAGUUAAGAAUUUCCUUAACCCGGAUGUUGGAUUUUAAGUUCACAUAAUAGAAUGUUAGUUUACAAUCAUGCAGGAAGAAACGGGAGGUUAAUCGGGUAAACGGUUUAAAAGCUAUGCAAGUUUUUGUGCGUGCGAACGACAAAACAACACAGCAGAAAAAUGGCAAAACUAGAGGCCGUCGCCGACGCCCCUAUGGGCCGUCGCCGACGCCUUGUGCAUUUUCAGUUUUCUCCGACGCCUAAUUUUCCUGUCUACGGAGGUUUCUGGCUACGCGAAAAACUAAUAGCCGUCGCCGACGCCCUAUAGGGCCGUCGCCGACGGCCUCCACAUGUUUUAAAUGCUGAAGUUCGUUAAUUAAGUUAUUUUGUGUACCGUAAGCUUCGGUAUAUUAACCGUGGUCUACGACGGGCCUCC
rnacentral:lncRNA from 1 species